rnacentral:rRNA from 1 species
GGGGAAUAUUGGACAAUGGGCGGAAGCCUGAUCCAGCAACGCCGCGUGAGGGAUGACGGCCUUCGGGUUGUAAACCUCUUUCAGUACCGACGAAGCGCCGAUGAUGGUGGUGACGGUAGGUACAGAAGAAGCACCGGCCAACUACGUGCCAGCAGCCGCGGUAAUACGUAGGGUGCGAGCGUUGUCCGGAAUUAUUGGGCGUAAAGGGCUCGUAGGCGGUUUGUCGCGUCGGGAGUGAAAACACUGGGCUUAACUCAGUGCUUGCUUUCGAUACGGGCAGACUAGAGGCAUGCAGGGGAGAACGGAAUUCCUGGUGUAGCGGUGAAAUGCGCAGAUAUCAGGAGGAACACCGGUGGCGAAGGCGGUUCUCUGGGCAUGUCCUGACGCUGAGGAGCGAAAGUGUGGGGAGCGAAC